UAAAUAUAAGAAAAAAUAAAAAAAAUGUAGGGGCAGGUCGAAAGAAGGGAUCCCCUUUGCCAGCCGCCCCCCUCAGGGGGUGGUCGUCGAGGCUUGUGGACUUCCGAUGACCUCCCCUAAGGGGCGGAGCCAGUGGAGGGAGCCUCGUCCCCACACCUCCCCUUGUCUGUUUCAUGGGGAGGUUACCGGGGGCUUAAUGAGUCCCCGGCGACCUCUCUUAAGGGGGGGAUGCCGGUGGGCCCCUCUCCCCCAAGCUCUAAUCCUCUCUUCUCCUUCUUCUUCCCCUUGUUUUCCACUCAAUCGACCUCCUCCCACUAAUCUUUUCUGCAACAGAGUAAAUGGGUAGCCAGAGAUAGCAUUAACAUGCUCAAAGCUUGAUCCUUUUUUGCUUUGGUUUCAAAUGGGUUCCUACCAAAAGGUUUGAUUUUUGUCCUGAGUAGUUCUGGAGCUGUUGGGGUUUUUGAUUUUCGAGAUGGGUUCUCACUAUUUGAGCUCGAGAAGUGUUGCAGUGGGGCGAGAAGCUUCAGGAAGAGCAGCAAAAACAACUGUGAUUGGAGCUCGUCCUCUUCGGGGAGGUGGAACAAGAUUGAGAGCAUUGGGAAGAUGAAGUUUGGUUCUUCUGGUACUGUGAGGGGGCUCUGAACCAGCACGGCAACCAGAGCUAGAUUUAUGUUGCUGGGAAGAUGUGCUCCAAUGGAGCUAGUGAUGUCGCCUGAGGGGGGACGUCGCUAGAAGUUCGAUAGGCCCUCGACGACCAUCCCCUGAGAGAGGACGGCUAGUAGAGGGAGAGGACCCACCUUGAAGGCCAGCUCAACUCACGGUUAUGGUUUCGGAUGGAAUUUAAACGGUGUGCUAGAUUUGAAAAGAAAAUGGUGAUUUGUGCUAUGACGUGCCAAUUUUAAAAACCGUGUUAGGAGGUGAAAAUGCCGUUCAAAUUGUGCUAGAGGGUGCUAUUUUCCGUUUUAGAUAUUUUCUUAGAAAAAAUAGAAGAAUUCUCCAGAAGUAAAUAGAUUUCUUCGAUUUCUAGUGAAAUUACUUAUAUUUUCCCCUUAGCUUGGCAAAGUUACUAUCCUUUUUGCAUCCCCAAAAAGUCGUCCCUAGGCUAAAAUCUUGAGUCCGUCCCUGGUGCCCUUCAUAUAUGAUAAUUGUAAUUUUUCUAAAAAUAGUAAGAAUUUAUGUACUUCUGCUAAAAUAACUCUCCAUGUGGUGACAAGUGAUCCAAUUUUUACC